rnacentral:lncRNA from 1 species
UCUUGGCUUUCGGGGGCUUUUCUGGCUCGUUACCUGUGCCUGGCUCCCUGCUUGGGACGCUACUGGACCCAUCACACAUGAGGAGGAAUCGUUUUUACCCCCAAAGUUUGCCUUAGACAGCAAAGGGUGGUAAUUGGUUGAAAUGCCUGAUACACAGACAAGAUUUGUUCAUAAAUAUGUCAAUGAAAAUAAAAUUGAUGCUUCUUUUUGGAUCCACUUAGACUUACUGUUGUCACUGAAGCACAGACUGGAGGACAGAGAGUAGAGUGUUUGAAGUGGGCAUGAUUCAUCACAUUUUGCCUCAGAAGACGGUUGCCUCACAGGAAGCCACCAGAAUUCUUGUUCUGAGGCUGAACAGAUCACAAAAACCCUCCCAGUUGCCACCUCACUCAUCCACUUCGAUGAGCGUAUUUAAAGGAACCCAUCUCCUCGUUGCGGGGUUUUAAAAAUUGGUGGGGACCUUUUGGUGGUACUUGCGAUGUCCCUGAAUGAUGUUUCCAAAGAAAAGGAGCCUCAAAAUGGAGAAUGGAGCGUGGAACUAAUCUGACCAUUAGCAUGAAGAGUUUAUUUCUUAACAUAAGAAGCCCUGGGUUUUCUUCAUCUACUCGGAACUGCCUUAUGAACCCUCUGUUGUUGCAAAAAAAUAGGUUGCAUAGCUUUGGAAGGGAGGAAAGGCAGCCUUCAGAGCUGCACUGGCCACCCCAGGACUUCUCUGCAAUCUGAAUCUCUCUGCUGUAGGAGGAACUGAGCCAAUGGGGCUACUGAGGAGGCUACAAGAAAGUAGUGAGAUCCAUGGGGAGCCAUAGUCAUCUCUUGCCUAUAAACUGUGUCCUUCCCAGAAGGUCUCUGAUGGAUGUGAUAUGCAUCUUUUUGGCCUUCAUCCAUUUGGGUACAAAGCUUUGAGAUCAGUAAAAGUACCAUCUUUGUUCUCUUAUAAAUCCUUUAGGCUAUAUAACAAUAACAGAAAAUAUCAUUACACUGCUGUAUAAAUCUUCGUAAUGCUCUCACCUAAAGUGUUGUUUUUGUUGCUCUCCUGUCUCCCCACCUGAGAAUGCAUAUCCUAGAACUGGAAAAAAUA